rnacentral:rRNA from 1 species
GAUUCGUCACACUAUCAUUAACUGAAUCCAUAGGUUAAUGAGGCGAACCGGGGGAACUGAAACAUCUAAGUACCCCGAGGAAAAGAAAUCAACCGAGAUUCCCCCAGUAGCGGCGAGCGAACGGGGAGGAGCCCAGAGCCUGAAUCAGCAUGUGUGUUAGUGGAAGCGUCUGGAAAGGCGCGCGAUACAGGGUGACAGCCCCGUACACAAAAGCGCAUGUGCUGUGAGCUCGAUGAGUAGGGCGGGACACGUGGUAUCCUGUCUGAAUAUGGGGGGACCAUCCUCCAAGGCUAAAUACUCCUGACUGACCGAUAGUGAACCAGUACCGUGAGGGAAAGGCGAAAAGAACCCCGGCGAGGGGAGUGAAAAAGAACCUGAAACCGUGUACGUACAAGCAGUGGGAGCACCCUUUGGGGUGUGACUGCGUACCUUUUGUAUAAUGGGUCAGCGACUUAUAUUCUGUAGCAAGGUUAACCGUAUAGGGGAGCCGGAGGGAAACCGAGUCUUAAUUGGGCGUUAAGUUGCAGGGUAUAGACCCGAAACCCGGUGAUCUAGCCAUGGGCAGGUUGAAGGUUGGGUAACACUAACUGGAGGACCGAACCGACUAAUGUUGAAAAAUUAGCGGAUGACCUGUGGCUGGGGGUGAAAGGCCAAUCAAACCGGGAGAUAGCUGGUUCUCCCCGAAAGCUAUUUAGGUAGCGCCUCGUGAAUUCAUCUCCGGGGGUAGAGCACUGUUUCGGCUAGGGGGCCAUCCCGGCUUACCAACCCGAUGCAAACUGCGAAUACCGGAGAAUGUUAUCACGGGAGACACACGGCGGGUGCUAACGUCCGUCGUGAAGAGGGAAACAACCCAGACCGCCAGCUAAGGUCCCAAAGUCAUGGUUAAGUGGGAAACGAUGUGGGAAGGCCCAGACAGCCAGGAUGUUGGCUUAGAAGCAGCCAUCAUUUAAAGAAAGCGUAAUAGCUCACUGGUCGAGUCGGCCUGCGCGGAAGAUGUAACGGGGCUAAACCAU